AAUAUUUUUUCCACUGCGAUACCUAGUAUCUCAAAGUUUAAUUACACUUUUAGAGUUACAUUUCGUGAAUUCGACUUUAUUUACAUUUUCAAAAGAGGUUAAACCAAUAAGUUUAAUAAAAACAAAUUGUGCAAAUAGCGCUUAAAGAACCAAAACGCUAAAAUUCUUACAGAAUUAUAAUAAGGAUGCCGAUCCGUCUGCUGUAAUUCAGCAUAAUAUUAACUCUGCACUUGUCGGUAAUUUUUUUAACCACACUUUCUACACCUUAAUUCCUUGCCUGAAAAUUUAAUAGGAUUUCGACAUAUUUUGAGAAAAUUCUGGCAUAAGAAUGGCGACCUGGAGAAUGGUGUAUUCAUCUUAAGGAAGGGACAACAUAAUUAUGAACACUUGAAGGACCAAAUACAAGAUAGGAAUUGCAAGCAUGUGUAGGAAAGGAGAACGAAAGAAUAUAUGCAAUAGACUUGCGACAAGGUAAAGAAGUUAUUGGUAGAAAUGUGUAGUACAUUACGCUGUCCCACUGAGACUAUAUAAGUAUUAAUAAAUUUCAAUUAUGUUAACGUAAUUUUGGAAAUGCCGAAGGUGCCUUACUUUCUUCAACUCGGUAUGUACCUCUAUGCAGAGAACUGAAAGACUUGACUAGAGUUGUGGGAGCAAGCAUAUUAGUUUGGUUAUACAGUUUGGCACAAAAGCUUGGCAUGAGCCAUUUUUGUCGCAAGGCCCUGUAUGAAAUGAUAUUAACCAAUUUGUUGGAUUCACCCUUCAUCAAAUAUGACUAGAAGCUUUUACUUGGACAAGGCACUGUGGAUUGUACGUCAAAUACAAGAAAAUGUGGAUGGAAAAAAAAUUAUUAUAGUAUGUUUUGGGAGUAAUUAUUAAAAUGCUUGUGCUUAAAA